UUUUGAAAUCCCUCAUUCUGGUAGAAAAAAGAAGAGUGACGGGUUUAAUUUGAAUUCUUCAUUUCUCAGCAUGAAUAAUACGCUCUCUGUCUUCGAUUUCUCCUUCACAGUGUCUUCUACCUCUCCUUCAUCUCUUUCCUUCUUUUAACUUUUUCUUUAAGAUUCUCUUCUUUGUUCCUGUCCAAUUCCUGGUUGUUCGUCACCUGUGGCGUUGUUUUGCUCAGAGUAAAUGAGAAGAGGACCUUGUUCGAGAGUGCCGCAUUCGUGGAACGCUACCUGCAAUCCAUAAAUUCAAUUGAAAUUGAAGAUGUUGAUUAUUGACUCGGCGUAAAUUAGAGAGUAGUGAGGAUGGAUACUAUGAAGUAGAAAGAGAGCAAGUCAUGCCUUUCGAUUUAUCUGCCUUGGAAGUUCAAUCAUCAAUCUUGAGUUAAAGCUUUUAAGCACCAAGAGUUCAGGUCCAAAAUAGUUGCUGGGUCACUGGGGCUUGGAAUGGAACACUAAAAAUGGUAAAGCAUGUGUA